rnacentral:tRNA from 1 species
UCCCUUAGAGCUUGUAAAUUAAGCAUUUCUUUUACACAGAAAAGAAAUUUGUGAAAAUCAAAUUAUUGGAA